rnacentral:lncRNA from 1 species
GACACGUCGUAUAAGCGGUUAACAUUUGACAGCCAUUGAUAAGUAUCGGUGUUUGUGCACGGGAGAAAGUGACGUUAGGCGAAGAUUCACUAUUCUUUUCUUCUUUGCUGGUAAAAGAUCCAAAUAACAGUAAAAACUGAUUAUCUAUCAGUAUAGGUAUUUUCAGUCACAAUUAUUCCUUCAAAUAUGUCUCAAUUCAAUCUUAAUAAAUACUUUUCUAAAUUCCAUCUUUACCCUCG